GUUUGCCUCCACAUUUAACAAGAGUAACAGUGAACAGAUGAACCAGAAUAUCUCUGUGCAUCUCCCAUGGCAUUGCUUUUAUUUCCAAAGAGCAGUGAAGUAGUUCAGAGGUCAGGAUAGUGGGAGCUGUAUCCUAACAUUGUUUCUCUCUCUUUUUUUUUUUUUUUCUUCCCAAAGACAUUCCAAAACCACACGUCUCCAGUUCACACCAGAAGUAUCCACUAGCUGCUACAGAAUAGUGAAGCAUUUUUAUUGCUGUAGACUCAGAAACUAUGGAGUUCCUACCAAUCAAAAUCUUUAUAUAGGAAAGGUUUCUCUUGUGUAGCACUGUGAAUGGACUCAGAAAUGUGAUCCCAGGGCACCAUUUGCAAAGGAACCAUAUUGACAUAGGCAGCCCUCUUGUACAAAUGAAGGUAAGUAACGCUGAAGGCUGGAUUUGCUCACUACCAUGUUAGGAGGGGCUGAUAAUUUUUUUCCUUUCCCUUGGUGAGAAGGGAGCCAUGCUAUUUUUAAAACUGCCACCUCCUGUAACAUGUAAUGCUUUUUUUGAGGCAACAUGAGUAGUUUGCUAGGCUUUGCAAAAAUGAUAGUGGCUUCCACUCAGUGACUUUCUGUGACAAGACUGAGGAGCAGAAUAUCAGCCAGGGAGGCAGAAUACAGUGUUGUCAGAAGAGCAGAAUACAAGGUUGUUGGUCAAGUAUUGCUCAGGAG
rnacentral:lncRNA from 1 species